rnacentral:misc_RNA from 1 species
AAAUGGACUAGCGUAGAAACUAGUUAGAGGGUAAAGAGUGGUAAGACGAUGGUCGAGGCACAAGUAUCAGCCGUCACCGCUGUGCUAUUCUUCUCGUUCAAUUUCAUCGGCCGGUUUCUUUCUCGCAAUUUUCGCAAGAGAACGCACAGAGAAUCCAUUAUGCCACUACGGUAGUCGACUUGAAAUUAUCGAUUCCAUCGAAAACGUUUCUUUCGUUUGUACUUCUCGCUCACCACCUCGCUCGCCAAGAACGCUUUAUCAGUUAAUUAGACGAGUUAAUCAGUGUCGUUUCAAAAACAGAGGGCAAACUAGUUUUUCGGCAAUCUGUUUCGAGAUUUAUCGUCAUUUUCGAUGUUCUUGUGAUUUUUCGUCGAACGCGUUCGACCGAUAUUUUCCAACGCUUCGACGUUGGUAAUUCCCGUGGAAAUCACGUAUGACGUAAGAUUUCAUCGAGUAUUCAUCGGUGUGAAACGAACAGGAAGAUUCGAGGCGAGAAUUUCUUACCAGUUUGGUUUUACAAUGCAUUUUUCUCGUUCUCCACGACGAUUGGUCCAUACGAAAGGUAUCGAAACGCUGUUGCUACGUGCUCCGAUGGGGGCCACCUUUAAAGCCGAUAUCGCGGAACGAAGUACAUACUUACUUGCUAUGACCAGGCGAAAUGCUUAAAAGUCCAAGACCGAUGAUCUCGAUAAUCCUCUACGAUUUCUGUGCAAGGUCCAACAUUCUCGAUCGAAAGAGACUCUUCGUUCCACUUUUGACCUUUCCCAGCCGAUCGAUCGGUCUCUGCGAUUUCAAGACCUAACCUCCUCUUUCCUGCAAACCAUUCUUCGUUUCUCCAUUCGUAUUUUAAUGAAUUCUAAACGUUCCUCGCCGAAAUAACCACCUUCCUCGAGAAGACGAUAUCCUUCGACCGAUGAAACGGACGGAAAUGUUAAUCGCGAACAGAUUGGAAAAUAUUCGAAAAUCGAGAGAGCUGACGCGACGACCAUAGCCCUCUCAGAGUGUUGUGCAUCGUGCGAGGUUCGUUUCAGAAUGAUUCCUUUUCUUCCGUUCCAUUUGCACUCGUAAGCGCGAAUUAUCGGCACGAGGCCAAACUUGCGCCCCUUUUUCGCGCCUCUGACAUUUAGUUCGACGUUGUGCCAGCUUUCCCAGUCUCUUUACGUUUCUCAAAAUUGUCUUUCGAAAUUAAUACAUCGUCGGAAAUCGGCCCGAUAUCGAUAUCGAAGAGAACAUAAAUUAAUAAGGAACCGCGCGGUUUAAAGCGAAUAGCUUCAAAGAAAGAUGAGUCG